UUACGGCGAUAUCAGCUUGAACCAUCGGUUCUCCUACGAUCACCGACGUUAAGCAACGUCAAGCCUGGUCAUUAACUAGAUGGGUGACCGUUUGGGAAUACCAAAGACUG